rnacentral:rRNA from 1 species
AUUGAACGCUGGCGGCAUGCCUUACACAUGCAAGUCGAACGGCAGCACGGGGCAACCUGGUGGCGAGUGGCGAACGGGUGAGUAAUGCAUCGGAACGUGCCAUUGAGUGGGGGAUAACGUAGCGAAAGUUGCGCUAAUACCGCAUAUUCUGUGAGCAGGAAAGCAGGGGACCGCAAGGCCUUGCGCUCUUUGAGCGGCCGAUGUCAGAUUAGCUAGUUGGUGAGGUAACGGCUUACCAAGGCGACGAUCUGUAGCGGGUCUGAGAGGAUGAUCCGCCACACUGGAACUGAGACACGGCCCAGACUCCUACGGGAGGCAGCAGUGGGGAAUAUUGGACAAUGGGCGCAAGCCUGAUCCAGCAAUGCCGCGUGUGUGAAGAAGGUCUUCGGAUUGUAAAGCACUUUCGACGGGGACGAUGAUGACGGUACCCGUAGAAGAAGCCCCGGCUAACUUCGUGCCAGCAGCCGCGGUAAU